CAGGCCUAACACAUGCAAGUCGAACGGUAGCACAGAGAGCUUGCUCUCGGGUGACGAGUGGCAGACGGGUGAGUAACGCGUGGGAACGUACCUUUUGGUUCGGAACAACACAGGGAAACUUGUGCUAAUACCGGAUAAGCCCUUACGGGGAAAGAUUUAUCGCCGAAAGAUCGGCCCGCGUCUGAUUAGCUAGUUGGUGAGGUAAUGGCUCACCAAGGCGACGAUCGGUAGCUGGUCUGAGAGGAUGAUCAGCCACAUUGGGACUGAGACACGGCCCAAACUCCUACGGGAGGCAGCAGUGGGGAAUAUUGGACAAUGGGCGCAAGCCUGAUCCAGCCAUGCCGCGUGAGGGAUGAAGGCCCUAGGGUUGUAAAGCUCUUUUGUGCGGGAAGAUAAUGACGGUACCGCAAGAAUAAGCCCCGGCUAACUUCGUGCCAGCAGCCGCAGUAA
rnacentral:rRNA from 1 species